UCCCUACUGGCUCAGAUGGUAAAGCAUCUGUCUGCAACGCAGGAGACCUGGGUUUGAUCCCUGGGUUGGGAA
rnacentral:tRNA from 1 species